GGAAUAUAAGUGAAUCAUGGGGUGGUUUUCCUCAUACUGUUCUCAUGGCAGUGAAAAAGUCUCACAAGAUCUGAUGGUUUAAUAAGGGGUUUCCUUUUUCACUUGGCUUUCAUUCUCCUUAUCUACCACCAUGUAAGACAUGCCUUUCGCCUUCCACCGUGAUUAUGAGGCCUCCCCAGCCACGUGGAACUCAUACACUUAAUAAUUCAUUACCUAUUAAGGUUAAGAGUAUGAACCUUACCAACAGGUAAAAAUGUGUCAUAUUAAUUUUUUCAACAUCAACAAACACGUCAAAAGAUGGAGCACUGAAAGCUGCAUUUUAAACAAAUGCCCCAGGUAAUGUAUACUGAAAAUGCAAUCCUGAUGUCCUAGGUGGCAGGAUUAUUGUUGUUGGAGAAUGCUCCUGUAAAUUUCUUUUCCAGUCUUCUCUCCUCACUUUCCAUGCCUAAGGAGUCUAAGUCCCACUGCCCCUGCUAAUUGUCCCUGGUUAAUUAGAAUGGAGAAUGACCCCUGAACCAACAUGGGCCCAUGAGCCGCACUGGUGAAUUGUCAUUCAGACCCAAAGGCUAGUCAGUCUCCCUGGGCAUUGAGAAGCAACAGAAAGCAAGUAUGUUCUUUGAUUACAGACUAAUUUUCUAGCCCCAGAGUUGGAACUAAAAUAUGCAGAUAGGAUAGUGGCAAGAGACAGACAAAUGCCUAGGCAGAUAAGGGGUGUCCCUGGAGAACCUCUGACCUGCCCAGGUCAUUGUGCACCAGGGUUUUGCCUAAACAUGCCCAUGGUGAAAAAUUUCAUCCCUUAACACAUGCAGUGUACAGUGGCUCAGACUAAGGGCCUGCAGGCACAUUGGAAAGACAGGGUAGAGCCACCAAAAAUUCGCUCCUUAUGCAGGGGAAGAGCCUGGCCUCCAGCUUGUGUGUGGUGGCCUGGUAUUCAAUUUGUGAGAUGGAAACCUGUGUCCAGGACCCCUCUCUUUGCUGACAGCUUUCCUUUCGCUUAAUAAAUUCCAUCCUCCUCACCUGUCAAUGUGUCCACAUGCCUAAUUUUUCCUGGUUUGAGACAAGAACCCGGAUUUAGCUCAACUAACAAGCAAAAAAUCCUGCAUCAGAUCUACAGAUAGAUAGACAUAGAUCUAGAUAUAGAUACAGAUACAGGUGUAGACACAGAUGUAGAUACAAAUACAGAUAAACGUAUCUUUACAGAGAACACACCCACAUAGUAUGAGUAAAACAAAAAAUUAACACCACUCCCCACGCCAAGUGUGUAAAAAGAGGACACUAGCUUAAGAGAAAUAAAGUCUUGUGGCUUAUUUCCCAGGAAGAUGAUAGUGUAUGCCAAAAAUGGAUGUAAUAUUUAGUCUCAGUUGAGAUUGCCUGUCUUACAUUUAAGGCAGAUGGGCUUCAACUACUAUAGCAGAUAGUUGGUGACCUAAGGCAGAAAGCUUUGUUACAAGGUGGCAGAUGGAAGGAGAGAGGUACAAACUCCCAAAAAUGACUCUCCCAGAGUCUCUUAAAAUACUCCUGGACAGGGAUGAUCAUCUUUGGCCCAUUUGCCAAGAAAAACUGAGAACAGAUUCCAUAAAGAAAAAAUUAAACAGAUAUGAGUAGAGAAAUGUGUCCUGCCCUUGGUUUGUAUGAGAUAUCAUAGAUUCCUCCUAAAAAAUCCCUUGCCUUGAUUUUUUUUCUUGAUAUCACAUGUGUAGUUUUCUGUUCUUUGUAAUGAAUUAAUUCCUAACCAAGAUAGCCACAAUAGGCAAACAAUUAGAAAUAUUAGACAUGAAUUUACAGGGUACCUUGGCUAUUUGUUUCAUUGAUGCCUGAAAUUCCAUAUUGGGUUUUUAUUUUUUAUGUCAUUUUUAAUUUCAUGUCAUUCUUUUGGUUUCCACUCAUUCAAAUAUAAAUAUCUCUGAGAAUAGCAAUUACUCCUAAGUCCAUACAUUGAGUAUACCCUCAGAAUUAUAUCAGAAAUUUUUCUUGUGAACACUUUUUGGUAGAGAAAAAAGCACCUGAUGUGGUAGGAGGGGUGGAAGUGAUGCUACUGUCCUUGCUGCCAACUUCCUCUACAGUGACUGCCCCUGCCACUGUGGGCUUCCUAAAGAUGGGGGUCUUCGUUCCUAAAGGAUGAUUCGGAGAGCCCCUUCUUACUGUGUUCUACCUGGCAGGAGUUGAGUUAGGCAUUUCAGAUGUAUUCAGGCAGGAAUUUCUCACAAUAACCCUAUGAUGUUGGCAUUAUUAUUAAUGUUCUACAGAUGAAGACUUACAGACUUAGAGGAUCAGAGUGGUAAAGAAACUAGCUCAGAAAGAGCUGAAUUGGAAUCCAGGUCUGUCUGCCUGACUCAAAGUCUGUGGGUUUUUUUGUUUUGUUUUUUUUGAGACGGAGUCUCGCUCUGUCACCCAG
rnacentral:lncRNA from 1 species